AUGUGUGUGAGCUCACGAUGAUGACACAAAAGAAAGAAGGCAUCUCUCACUGUUGCAUAAAAGAAAUCCAACAAUGACCAUUUCAAUCACCUUUCUGUUGUUCUAAAUGCUAUUUUAAUGGAGGUCGAAUGUUCACAAAUUUAUGGGGAAUAAUGAAUAAAAGAUUAAGGAAUAGUUGUAAUGGGAAGCAUAUUUACAACGAUCUGUAGAGACACAAACUGAAAAUAACUCAAUUAUGGUUUUGCUUAACCUAUUAGAUAGUGUUAUAAAUAAUAAGCUGUACAUUUGGAGCCAGCUUCUUGGUGAUGACUUGUUUGGCUUGAUUUCUCACUUAGGUCAAGUGCUGUGCUGUACUGAUUGAUAGAUUGUCUCCAGCAGGAAGUUUGACAAUGGACAACCUAGAAGCAGAUGUGCCUGAUAAAUGUAAAUGGUAGCUUCUUUGUGGCCCUUCCACCAGAAGUGAAGAAGCCUGGUGCAGAGCUUCUACUUGACCUAUGAUAGAUAUGCUGCUGGAGAAGAAAUCAACCUCCUGUGCUCCUGAGUAUAUGACUACUUGUACUUGCUAGCACUGAGGCAAGUACAAACUCUAGGCAUCAGGCUUUUGGUCUCACUCUUAGCGAAUUUGAACACUGGCUUUUUUGUUGGGCUUCCAUUCUUCUCUCAGUGCAAGAAUACCAACGUUUAUGACCCAGGAAGCACCAACUUGUACUUCACAGAGCUAAGAAACAGCAUUUCGCCAUGUCACGCAGGCUGGUCUUCAACUCCUGGACUCAAGCUAUCCACGGGCCUCGGCCUCCCAAAGUGCUAGAAUUACAGGCAUGAGCCACUGUGUCCGGCUUGGAGUUUUUAGUCUCAUCAAACCAACUCACCCAAAUGUCCCUUGGUGACAAAAAGUUUUCUGAACAAUUAAGUAAUCUUUGUUUCUCAAGCCUGACAAAAUAAAAAGUUUUCUGUCUCUCUCUUUCUCUUUUGC